UACGUAGGUGGCUAGCGUUGUCCGGAUUUACUGGGUGUAAAGGGCGUGCAGCCGGGCUGACAAGUCAGAUGUGAAAUCCCGCGGCUCAACCGCGGAACUGCAUUUGAAACUGUCAGUCUUGAGUACCGGAGAGGUCAUCGGAAUUCCUUGUGUAGCGGUGAAAUGCGUAGAUAUAAGGAAGAACACCAGUGGCGAAGGCGGAUGACUGGACGGCAACUGACGGUGAGGCGCGAAAGCGUGGGGAGCAAACAGG
rnacentral:rRNA from 1 species